GCCCCUGUGGUGAAAUGGUAGACGCGCCGGAUUCAAAAUCCGGUACCGAUAGGUGUGUCAGUUCGAGUCUGACCAGGGGCACCA
rnacentral:tRNA from 1 species